CCGCGGAACUGCACCACGGCGUCACACGUCCACUGCAGCGCCGCGCUCACCGAGUCGAUAAAGUCCUGACGACGGCGGCGGUGCUCCUUGGUGAGGUGCUGCUGGAGCCGUUUGACUGCCACCUGGCGGGUAGUGCCCGAACUAGUGUGCCACUGAGCGCGCUGAACUACAGUGUAGCGGCCGUACACCUCGGCAGCCCGGCCUGUGGGCGGACAGGACCACGGGAGCGGGAGAGGUCAGCUCUCAGGUCAACACCGCAGAAAAUUUUGGACCGUCAGACAGCACACAUAAGAACAAGGCACUCUUUGAACUGGACCAGGUGGUCGGUGGAGAACUGAGCCAGCAGCUCCUGGAUGGAGGCGUGCUCCUCCUCCUCGCCCGGACACCGGAACCCGCCGCCAGCGGUCUCGUCGAUCGCUAUCGUCAGCGGC